rnacentral:rRNA from 1 species
UACGUAGGCAGCAAGCGUUGUUCGGAGUUACUGGGCGUAAAGGGUGUGUAGGCGGUUCUUUUAAGUUUGCUGUGAAAUCUCCCGGCUUAACCGGGAGGGUGCGGUGAAUACUGAGGGACUAGAGUACGGGAGAGGGAAAGUGGAAUUCCUGGUGUAGCGGUGAAAUGCGUAGAUAUCAGGAGGAACACCGGUGGUGUAGACGGCUUUCUGGACCGACACUGACGUGAGACACGAAAGCGUGGGUAGCAAACAGG